rnacentral:rRNA from 1 species
AGUGAACGCUGGCGGCAGGCCUAACACAUGCAAGUCGAGCGGCAGCGGGUUCCCGCGAGGGGAUGCCGGCGAGCGGCGGACGGGUGAGGAACACAUCGGAAUCUGCCUGGUUGUGGGGGAUAACGUAGGGAAACUUACGCUAAUACCGCAUGCGACCCUGAGUCGACGGACUGGGGGUGAAAGUGAGGGACCUUCGGGCCGUCACGCGACCAGAUGAGCCGAUGUCGGAUUAGCUAGUUGGCGGGGUAACGGCCCGCCAAGGCGACGAUCCGUAGCUGGUCUGAGAGGAUGAUCAGCCACACUGGGACUGAGACACGGCCCAGACUCCUACGGGAGGCAGCAGUGGGGAAUCUUGGACAAUGGGCGCAAGCCUGAUCCAGCCAUGCCGCGU